rnacentral:rRNA from 1 species
CACGUAGGCACCAAGCGUUGUCCGGAUUUAUUGGGCGUAAAGAGCUCGUAGGCGGUUCGGUAAGUCGGGUGUGAAAACUUUGGGCUCAACCCAAAGCCUGCACUCGAUACUGCUGUGACUUGAGUCCGGUAGGGGAGUGGGGAAGUUCCUGGUGUAGCGGUGGAAUGACGCAGAUAUCGGGAGGAACACCGGUGGCGAAGGCGGGUCUCUGGGCAGUAACUGACGCUGAGGAGCGAAAGCGUGGGGAGCGAACAGG